rnacentral:rRNA from 1 species
UACGAAGGGGGCUAGCGUUGCUCGGAAUCACUGGGCGUAAAGGGUGCGUAGGCGGGUCUUUAAGUCAGGGGUGAAAUCCUGGAGCUCAACUCCAGAACUGCCUUUGAUACUGAAGAUCUUGAGUUCGGGAGAGGUGAGUGGAACUGCGAGUGUAGAGGUGAAAUUCGUAGAUAUUCGCAAGAACACCAGUAGCGAAGGCGGCUCACUGGCCCGGUACUGACGCUGAGGUGCGAAAGCGUGGGGAGCAAACAGG